GGGCGGUUAGCUCAGCUGGCAGAGCGGCUGGUUUACACCCAGUAGGUCGGCGGUUCGAUCCCGUCACCGCCCACCA
rnacentral:tRNA from 3 species